GCCACCGUGACAUAGUGGUUUGAGUGCUGGACUAUGACUCUGGAAGCCAGAGUUCAAUUCCCAGCUUGGCC